UGAAUACGAGACGCUAAGGCGUCGAAGUAGUGUAUGUCAUACUUCCAAGAAAAGCUUGCACUGUCAUAGAUAAAAAACGCCUGUACCAUAACCGACACAGGUGGGUAGGUAGAGUAUACUAAGGGGCGCGAGAUAACUCUCUCUAAGGAACUCGGCAAAAUAACUCCGUAACUUCGGGAGAAGGAGUGCCUUAUUCGUAAGGUUGCAAUAACAAGAUCCAAGCAACUGUUUAUCAAAAACACAGGUCUCCGCUAAGUCGUAAGACGAUGUAUGGGGGCUGACGCCUGCCCAGUGCCAGAAGGUUAAAGAAGUUGGUUAGCAAUUGCGAAGCUGAUAACUGAAGCCCUGGUGAACGGCGGCCGUAACUAUAACGGUCCUAAGGUAGCGAAAUUCCUUGUCGGGUAAGUUCCGACCCGCACGAAAGGCGUAAUGAUUUGGAUACUGUCUCGGAGAGGGGCUCGGUGAAAUAGACUUGUCUGUGAAGAUGCGGACUACCUGCACCAGGACAGAAAGACCCUAUGAAGCUUUACUGUAACUUGAAAUUGAAAUUGGACUUUAUUCGCGCAGCAUAGGUGGGAGGCGUUGAUUAUAAUCUUGUGGGAUUAUUGGAGCCAUCAGUGAGAUACCACUCUUGUAAUGUUAGAUUUCUAACUUUGAAUCAUUAUCUGGUCAAAGAACAGUUUCAGGCGGGCAGUUUGACUGGGGCGGUCGCCUCCUAAACGGUAACGGAGGCGUACAAAGGUUUCCUCUGAACGGUUAGAAAUCGUAUCUAGAGUGUAAAGGCAUAAGGAAGCUUGACUGUGAGACCUACAAGUCGAGCAGGGACGAAAGUCGGUCUUAGUGAUCUGACGGUACUGAGUGGAAAGGCCGUCACUCAACGGAUAAAAGUUACUCUAGGAUAACAGGCUGAUCUCCCCCAAGAGUUCACAUCGACGGGGAGGUUUGGCACCUCGAUGUCGGCUCAUCGCAUCCUGGGGCGGUAGUACGUCCCAAGGGUUGGGCUGUUCGCCCAUGAAAGCGGUACGCGAGCUGGGUUCAGAACGUCGUGAGACAGUUCGGUCCAUAUCCGGUGUAGGCAUUAGAAUAUUGAGAGGAGCCUUCUUUAGUACGAGAGGACCGAGAAGGACAUACCUCUGGUGUACCAGUUAUCGUGCCAACGGUAGACGCUGGGUAGCUAUGUAUGGAGUGGAUAACCGCUGAAAGCAUCUAAGUGGGAAGCCCACCUCAAGAUAAGUAUUCUCC
rnacentral:rRNA from 1 species